UACGUAGGGGGCAAGCGUUGUCCGGAUUUAUUGGGUUUAAAGGGUGCGUAGGCGGUCUUGUAAGUCAGUGGUGAAAUACGGCAGCUCAACUGUCGAGGUGCCAUUGAUACUGUAGGACUUGAGUACAGACGAGGUAGGCGGAAUUGACGGUGUAGCGGUGAAAUGCUUAGAUAUGACAUAGAACACCAAUUGCGAAGGCAGCUUACUACAGGGAUAUUGACACUGAGGCACGAAAGCGUGGGGAUCAAACAGG
rnacentral:rRNA from 1 species